UACGGGGGGGGCAAGCGUUGUUCGGAAUUACUGGGCGUAAAGGGCUCGUAGGUGGCCAACUAAGUCAUACGUGAAAUCCCUCGGCUUAACCGGGGAACUGCGUCUGAUACUGGAUGGCUUGAGGUUGGGAGAGGGAUGCGGAAUUCCAGGUGUAGCGGUGAAAUGCGUAGAUAUCUGGAGGAAUACCGGUGGCGAAGGCGGCAUCCUGGACCGGCAUUGACGCUGAGGAGCGAAAGCUAGGGGAGCAAACGGG
rnacentral:rRNA from 1 species